AUUGAACGCUGGCGGCAUGCCUUACACAUGCAAGUCGAACGGCAGCACGGGGGCAACCCUGGUGGCGAGUGGCGAACGGGUGAGUAACAUAUCGGAACAUACCCUAGAGUGGGGGAUAACGUAGCGAAAGUUACGCUAAUACCGCAUACGAUCUAAGGAUGAAAGUGGGGGAUCUUCGGACCUCAUGCUCAUGGAGUGGCCGAUAUCUGAUUAGCUAGUUGGUGAGGUAAAGGCUCACCAAGGCGACGAUCAGUAGCUGGUUUGAGAGAACGACCAGCCACACUGGAACUGAGACACGGUCCAGACUCCUACGGGAGGCAGCAGUGGGGAAUUUUGGGACAAUGGGGGCAACCCUGAUCCAGCAAUGCCGCGUGAGUGAAGAAGGCCUC
rnacentral:rRNA from 1 species